GACGAAGGGGGCUAGCGUUGUUCGGAAUUACUGGGCGUAAAGCGCGUGUAGGCGGCUCUUCAAGUCAGGCGUGAAAGCCCCGGGCUCAACUCGGGAACUGCGCUUGAUACUGUCGAGCUAGAGUGUGGAAGGGGCGAUUGGAAUUCCGUGUGUAGCGGUGAAAUGCGUAGAUAUACGGAGGAACACCAGAGGCGAAGGCGGAUCGCUGGGCCAACACUGACGCUGAGACGCGAAAGCUAGGGUAGCAAACGGG
rnacentral:rRNA from 1 species